CGCAAUGGGCGAAASCCUGASGGAGCAAUACCGCGUGAGGGAAGACGGCCUAUGGGUUGUAAACCUCUUUUUUCAGGGAGGAAUCAAUGACGUGUACCUGAAGAAUAAGCAUCGGCUAACUCCGUGCCAGCAGCCGCGGUAAGACGGAGGAUGCAAGUGUUAUCCGGAAUCACUGGGCGUAAAGCGUCUGUAGGUGGUUGAACAAGUCAACUGUUAAAUCUUGAGGCUCAACUUCAAAAUCGCAGUCGAAACUGUUUGACUAGAGUAUAGUAGGGGUAAAGGGAAUUUCCAGUGGAGCGGUGAAAUGCGUAAAUAUUGGAAAGAACACCGAUGGCGAAGGCACUUUACUGGGCUAUUACUGACACUCAGAGACGAAAGCUAGGGUAGCAAAUGGGAUUAAAUACCCCWGUAGUCC
rnacentral:rRNA from 1 species